UUCCGGUUGAUCCCGCCGGACCUGACUGCUAUCGGAUUGAUACUAAGCCAUGCGAGUCUUUGUAGUAAUACAAGGCAUACGGCUCAGUAACGCGUAGUCAACCUACCCUAUGGACAAGAAUAAUCUCGGGAAACUGAGCAUAAUUCUUGAUAGAUCAUAAUGCCUGGAAUGGUUUAUGGUUAAAAUGAUUCGUCGCCAUAGGAUGGGACUGCGGCCUAUCAGCUUGUUGGUGAGGUAAUGGCCCACCAAGGCGAUUACAGGUACGGGCUCUGAGAGGAGAAGCCCGGAGAUGGGUACUGAGACAAGGACCCAGGCCCUAUGGGGCGCAGCAGGCGAGAAAACUUUGCAAUGUGCGAAAGCACGACAAGGUUAGUCCGAGUGAUUUCUGCUAAAGAGAUCUUUUGCUAGUUAUAAAACCACUAGUGAAUAAGGGGUGGGCAAGUUCUGGUGUCAGCCGCCGCGGUAAAACCAGCACCUCAAGUGGUCAGGAUGAUUAUUGGGCCUAAAGCAUCCGUAGCCGGCUCUGUAAGUUUUCGGUUAAAUCUAUGCGCUCAACGUAUGGGCUGCCGAAAAUACUGCAGAGAUAGGGAGUGGGAGAGGUAGACGGUACUCGGUAGGAAGGGGUAAAAUCCUUUGAUCUAUCGAUGACCACCUGUGGCGAAGGCGGUCUACCAGAACACGUUCGACGGUGAGGGAUGAAAGCUGGGGGAGCAAACCGGAUUAGAUACCCGGGUAGUCCCAGCUGUAAACGAUGCAGACUCGAUGAUGCAUUGGCAUAUAGCCAGUGCAGUGUCGCAGGGAAGCCGUUAAGUCUGCCGCCUGGGAAGUACGUACGCAAGUAUGAAACUUAAAGGAAUUGGCGGGGGAGCACCACAAGGGGUGAAGCCUGCGGUUCAAUUGGAGUCAACGCCGGG
rnacentral:rRNA from 2 species